GUACUUGCAAGUACAGAGGACAACAAUGAAGAUGCUAGUGCUACACAAAGACAAGAUCAAAGAGCAGAAUCUUCUACAGUGGUACAGGAGAAUUGUCCUCAAGAAAAAUGUGAUGUCCACUCCUCCCACGGACUAACAGAAGAGCAAAGCAUCAUCUCGAUUCUUUCGUUUGCACUGAGGCACAACA